AAGUCCCUGAGGAGAUACCCACCACUAGUGCGCAUCUAAGUGCACAGCCUAGCACCAGUGCAGCAGGAAGCUCAGCUGUAGAGUCCUUUCAGAAAUAUAGGGAAAUAAAAAAGAGGGAGAGACCUUUUUUACAAAGGGACGGCAUAACUCCAAAAAUAAACAGAAAUUGGUGAAGAUUUCUGUUGGAGUAAUGAGGAGGAUGGAUGGCUGCCUUAAACCUUUGAGAGGGAGGUCACUUCCCCUUAAUGUCGAACCUCAAUGGGCAUGUGAAGAACUGUUGGCUGCUGCCAUAAAAAAGCAGAAAGCCUUUAACCAGGACUUGGAAGAUGGUGCCCAUGUCUUGUUGUACCCUGAUGCGAGGGUGAUAACAAAUAUCCCCGGAACGGACACCCCUUUCACAGUACAGAUGUACAAAAGAGGCCAUUGGAAAGCCCUACCAACGAAUUACGUUGUACAUCUGUACUCUUGAAGCCGUUGAAAACAGUUGUUACACUGGAACAACCUCUUCAAGUGACGAGGACAGUGUGGUUGUUGCAAAGUUGCCAUCUGGAGACAGUCUUGCUGACACCGUGGUGUGGGACUUUCCAAAUGAACAGAGCACUCCCAGAAUGGACAACAGUUUGCCAGGACCUCUCAGGCACCCACAACCAGCGUCUGAUCGGGAUGGAGAACCAACCCCAUUCCAGGAAGAGGUCCAGUCUGCCCCGGGUCAGAACACCUUCUAUAGGUAAACGAUGUUGACAGUUGCAUCGUGACACAGUUGUUUGGUGUGUAUUUGU